CCCUUGUACACACCGCCCGUCACACCAUGGGAGUCAAUUGCUCCAGAAGUCACCACACCACAGUGGUGCCCAAGGAGUGAUUGGUAACUGGGGUG
rnacentral:rRNA from 1 species